rnacentral:rRNA from 1 species
GGGUUGUGAGGUUAAGCGACUAAGCGUACACGGUGGAUGCCCUGGCAGUCAGAGGCGAUGAAGGACGUGCUAAUCUGCGAAAAGCGUCGGUAAGGUGAUAUGAACCGUUAUAACCGGCGAUGUCCGAAUGGGGAAACCCAGUGCAAUUCGUUGCACUAUCGUUAACUGAAUACAUAGGUUAACGAGGCGAACCGGGGGAACUGAAACAUCUAAGUACCCCGAGGAAAAGAAAUCAACCGAGAUUCCCCCAGUAGCGGCGAGCGAACGGGGAGCAGCCCAGAGUCUGAAUCAGCUUGUGUGUUAGUGGAACGGUCUGGAAAGUCCGACGGUACAGGGUGAUAGUCCCGUACACCAAAAUGCACAGGUUGUGAACUCGAAGAGUAGGGCGGGACACGUGGUAUCCUGUCUGAAUAUGGGGGGACCAUCCUCCAAGGCUAAAUACUCCUGACUGACCGAUAGUGAACCAGUACCGUGAGGGAAAGGCGAAAAGAACCCCGGCGAGGGGAGUGAAAAAGAACCUGAAACCGUGUACGUACAAGCAGUGGGAGCACCUUCGGGUGUGACUGCGUACCUUUUGUAUAAUGGGUCAGCGACUUAUAUUCUGUAGCAAGGUUAACCGUAUAGGGGAGCCGCAGGGAAACCGAGUCUUAACUGGGCGUUAAGUUGCAGGGUAUAGACCCGAAACCCGGUGAUCUAGCCAUGGGCAGGUUGAAGGUUGGGUAACACUAACUGGAGGACCGAACCGACUAAUGUUGAAAAAUUAGCGGAUGACUUGUGGCUGGGGGUGAAAGGCCAAUCAAACCGGGAGAUAGCUGGUUCUCCCCGAAAGCUAUUUAGGUAGCGCCUCGUGAACUCAUCUUCGGGGGUAGAGCACUGUUUCGGCUAGGGGGUCAUCCCGACUUACCAACCCGAUGCAAACUACGAAUACCGAAGAAUGUUAUCACGGGAGACACACGGCGGGUGCUAACGUCCGUCGUGAAGAGGGAAACAACCCAGACCGCCAGCUAAGGUCCCAAAGUCAUGGUUAAGUGGGAAACGAUGUGGGAAGGCACAGACAGCCAGGAUGUUGGCUUAGAAGCAGCCAUCAUUUAAAGAAAGCGUAAUAGCUCACUGGUCGAGUCGGCCUGCGCGGAAGAUGUAACGGGGCUAAACCAUGCACCGAAGCUGCGGCAGCGACACUAUGUGUUGUUGGGUAGGGGAGCGUUCUGUAAGCCUGCGAAGGUGUGCUGUGAGGCAUGCUGGAGGUAUCAGAAGUGCGAAUGCUGACAUAAGUAACGAUAAAGCGGGUGAAAAGCCCGCUCGCCGGAAGACCAAGGGUUCCUGUCCAACGUUAAUCGGGGCAGGGUGAGUCGACCCCUAAGGCGAGGCCGAAAGGCGUAGUCGAUGGGAAACAGGUUAAUAUUCCUGUACUUGGUGUUACUGCGAAGGGGGGACGGAGAAGGCUAUGUUAGCCGGGCGACGGUUGUCCCGGUUUAAGCAUGUAGGCUGAUUGUCCAGGCAAAUCCGGAUAAUCAAGGCUGAGGUGUGAUGACGAGGCACUACGGUGCUGAAGUAACAAAUGCCCUGCUUCCAGGAAAAGCCUCUAAGCAUCAGGUAACAUCAAAUCGUACCCCAAACCGACACAGGUGGUCAGGUAGAGAAUACCAAGGCGCUUGAGAGAACUCGGGUGAAGGAACUAGGCAAAAUGGUGCCGUAACUUCGGGAGAAGGCACGCUGGUGUGUAGGUGAAGUCCCUGCGGAUGGAGCUGAGACCAGUCGAAGAUACCAGCUGGCUGCAACUGUUUAUUAAAAACACAGCACUGUGCAAACACGAAAGUGGACGUAUACGGUGUGACGCCUGCCCGGUGCCGGAAGGUUAAUUGAUGGGGUUAUCCGUAAGGAGAAGCUCUUGAUCGAAGCCCCGGUAAACGGCGGCCGUAACUAUAACGGUCCUAAGGUAGCGAAAUUCCUUGUCGGGUAAGUUCCGACCUGCACGAAUGGCGUAAUGAUGGCCAGGCUGUCUCCACCCGAGACUCAGUGAAAUUGAACUCGCUGUGAAGAUGCAGUGUACCCGCGGCAAGACGGAAAGACCCCGUGAACCUUUACUAUAGCUUGACACUGAACAUUGAGCCUUGAUGUGUAGGAUAGGUGGGAGGCUUUGAAGCGUGGACGCCAGUCUGCGUGGAGCCAACCUUGAAAUACCACCCUUUAAUGUUUGAUGUUCUAACGUUGGCCCCUGACCGGGGUUGCGGACAGUGUCUGGUGGGUAGUUUGACUGGGGCGGUCUCCUCCCAAAGCGUAACGGAGGAGCACGAAGGUUAGCUAAUCCUGGUCGGACAUCAGGAGGUUAGUGCAAUGGCAUAAGCUAGCUUGACUGCGAGCGUGACGGCGCGAGCAGGUGCGAAAGCAGGUCAUAGUGAUCCGGUGGUUCUGAAUGGAAGGGCCAUCGCUCAACGGAUAAAAGGUACUCCGGGGAUAACAGGCUGAUACCGCCCAAGAGUUCAUAUCGACGGCGGUGUUUGGCACCUCGAUGUCGGCUCAUCACAUCCUGGGGCUGAAGUAGGUCCCAAGGGUAUGGCUGUUCGCCAUUUAAAGUGGUACGCGAGCUGGGUUUAGAACGUCGUGAGACAGUUCGGUCCCUAUCUGCCGUGGGCGCUGGAGAAUUGAGGGGGGCUGCUCCUAGUACGAGAGGACCGGAGUGGACGCAUCACUGGUGUUCGGGUUGUCAUGCCAAUGGCACUGCCCGGUAGCUAAAUGCGGAAGAGAUAAGUGCUGAAAGCAUCUAAGCACGAAACUUGCCCCGAGAUGAGUUCUCCCUGAGACUAUAAGUCUCCUGAAGGAACGUUAAAGACGAUGAC